rnacentral:rRNA from 1 species
GCAUGUCUAAGUACAUACCUUUGCACGGUGAAACCGCGAAUGGCUCAUUAAAUCAGUUAUGGUUCCUUAGAUAGUUCAUAUUACAUGGAUAACUGUGGUAAUUCUAGAGCUAAUACAUGCGAAAAGCUCCGACCGUAUGGGAAGAGCGCUUUUAUUAGACCAAAACCAAUGGGGUCGCAAGAUCCCUUUGUAUGGUGACUCUGGAUAACUUUGUGCUGAUCGCAUGGCCUCGAGCCGGCGACGUAUCUUUCAAAUGUCUGCCCUAUCAACUUUCGAUGGUAAGCGAUUUGCCUACCAUGGUUGUAACGGGUAACGGGGAAUCAGGGUUCGAUUCCGGAGAGGGAGCGUGAGAAAUGGCUACCACAUCUACGGAAGGCAGCAGGCGCGCAAAUUACCCACUCCUAGAUCGGGGAGGUAGUGACGAAAAAUAACAAUACCGGACUCUAUGAGGCUCGGUAAUUGAAAUGAGUACAGUUUAAAACCCUUAACGAGGAUCUAUUGGAGGGCAAGUCUGGUGCCAGCAGCCGCGGUAAUUCCAUCUCCAAUAGCGUAUAUUAAAGUUGUUGCAGUUAAAAAGCUCGUAGUUGGAUCUCGGGUACUAGCAUGUGGUACGCUUAAUUGCUGUUACUGCUUGUCUAGUCCUAAUCAAUCGGUUGGCCGUUUAUGCCCUUUAUUGGGUGUUUUCGGUAGCCGGUACGUUUACUUUGAGAAAAUUAGAGUGCUUAAAGCAGGCUUUACGCCUGAAUAAUGUUGCAUGGAAUAAUAGAAUAGGACCUCGGUUCUAUUUUGUUGGUUUUGUAGAGCAUUGAGGUAAUGAUUAAUAGGGACAGACGGGGGCAUUCGUAUUGCGGUGUUAGAGGUGAAAUUCUUGGAUCGCCGCAAGACGAACAACUGCGAAAGCAUUUGCCAAGAAUGUUUUCAUUAAUCAAGAACGAAAGUUGGAGGUUCGAAGACGAUUAGAUACCGUCCUAGUUCCAACCAUAAACGAUGCCAACUAGCGAUUAGCUGCUGUUAAUUAAACGACACAGCUAGCAGCUUCCGGGAAACCAAAGUUUUUGGGUUCCGGGGGAAGUAUGGUUGCAAAGCUGAAACUUAAAGGAAUUGACGGAAGGGCACCACCAGGAGUGGAGCCUGCGGCUUAAUUUGACCCAACACGGGAAAUCUCACCCGGCCCGGACACUGUAAGGAUUGACAGAUUGAGAGCUCUUUCUUGAUUCGGUGGGUGGUGGUGCAUGGCCGUUCUUAGUUGGUGGAGCGAUUUGUCUGGUUAAUUCCGAUAACGAACGAGGCUCUAGCCUGCUAAAUAGUACGCCGAUCUUUAGUCGGCGCGUACUUCUUAGAGGGACAAGUAGCGAUUAGCUACAC